UUCGCUUUCUCUUUUUUUAUUAUUCUCUAUUUUUUGACAUGAGCAUCAGAAGAUUUUUAUUGGAGAAUAUUCUGAUGAGAACUUUUUGCAGAUAUUCAGACGGUACUCCAGCAGCAGUCACAUCUUAGUCAUCUCCAUUUCGACAUCCGAUCUCAAAUGAAGAGAUCAAGAGCAACAGAUACAAUCGAAUGUAGCCUAAUCUAUCCAUCUAUAAUAUAAUAAAAUAACUUUUAAAACUAGGG
rnacentral:lncRNA from 1 species